CACCACCAUGGAGUGGAGUCUGCGGCUUAAUUUGACAACACUGGGAAACUCAUCAGGGCAAGAAGAUUUUAGGAUUGACAGAUUGAGAGUUCUUUCUUGAUUGGUCUAGUGGUGGUGCAUGGCCGUUCUUAGUUGGUGGAGUGAUUUGUCUGGUUAAUUCCGUUAACGAACGAGACCUUAACCUGCUAACUAGUGCUUCGAUUUCUCAUCGGAGGCACUUCUUAGAGGGGACUAUGUGUGGUAAUCACAUGGAAGUUUGAGGCAAUAACAGGUCUGUGAUGCCCUUAGAUGUCCUGAGCUGCACGCGUACUACAAUGGCACUUUCAACAAGUUUUUCCUGAUCCGAAAGGAUUUGGGUAAUCUUUUCAGUGAGUGCCGUGCUUCGGGAUAGUUCUUUGUAAUUGUGGAACUUGAACUAGGAAUUCCUAGUAAGCGCGAGUCAUCAUCUCGUGCUGAUUACGUCCCUGCAAAAUGUACACACCG
rnacentral:rRNA from 1 species